CCUACGGGGCGCAGCAGUGAGGAAUAUUGGUCAAUGGACGAGAGUCUGAACCAGCCAAGUAGCGUGAAGGAUGACUGCCCUAUGGGUUGUAAACUUCUUUUAUAUGGGAAUAAAAUGUUCCACGUGUGGGAUUUUGUAUGUACCAUAUGAAUAAGGAUCGGCUAACUCCGUGCCAGCAGCCGCGGUAAUACGGAGGAUCCGAGCGUUAUCCGGAUUUAUUGGGUUUAAAGGGAGCGUAGGUGGAUUGUUAAGUCAGUUGUGAAAGUUUGCGGCUCAACCGUAAAAUUGCAGUUGAAACUGGCAGUCUUGAGUACAGGAGAGGUGGGCGGAAUGCGUGGUGUAGCGGUGAAAUGCUUAGAUAUCACGAAGAACUCCGAUUGCGAAGGCAGUUCACUGGACUGCAACUGACACUGAGGCUCGAAAGUGUGGGUAUCAAACAGGAUUAGAUACCCGUGUAGUC
rnacentral:rRNA from 1 species